UACGUAGGGACCAAGCGUUGUUCGGAUUGACUGGGCGUAAAGGGCGCGUAGGCGGCGUGGUAAGUCACUUGUGAAAUCUCUGAGCUUAACUCAGAACGGCCAAGUGAUACUGCUGUGCUAGAGUGCAGAAGGGGCAAUCGGAAUUCUUGGUGUAGCGGUGAAAUGCGUAGAUAUCGGGAGGAACACCUGUGGCGAAGGCGGCCCCCUGGUUGGAUACUGACGCUGAUACGCGAAAGCGUGGGGAGCAAACAGG
rnacentral:rRNA from 1 species